AAAUCAUGAUGCAGGCAUCUUCUCAACAGUUCCCUGAAUCGCUCCUACGCCUCAACUAAGGAUUCUACUUCAUAUUGUUGGGAGCAACAUAUCUCUGUUAUAAGCUU